UGGCGGACGGGUGAGUAACGCGUGGAUAACCUGCCGUAUACAGGGGGAUAACACUUAGAAAUAGGUGCUAAUACCGCAUAAGCGCACGGUUCCGCAUGGAACAGUGUGAAAAACUCCGGUGGUAUACGAUGGAUCCGCGUCUGAUUAGCCAGUUGGCGGGGUAACGGCCCACCAAGGCGACGAUCAGUAGCCGGCCUGAGAGGGUGAACGGCCACAUUGGGACUGAGACACGGCCCAAACUCCUACGGGAGGCAGCAG
rnacentral:rRNA from 1 species